UUAGCACAAGACAUGAGUAAAGCAAAGUCACAGCCUUAAUUUUAAGACUUGUUCUCCACUUUGGAGAAGUUUCAAAUCUAUCAGGGCGUGGAAAUAGUAAUAGUUUGGCCCAGCAUGGUCAGAGGCAAUCGUGUGCUACCUGCUUGAGAUGAGGAAGGUGUCCUUCCAAGCAGUCCUAAGGCAGGAAUUGUAACCUUCUCACCUCUUUUCUGCCACCUCAGCUCAGCACAAAGCCCGGCUUCCAAAAUUAUGGGCCGAGCAACCAAGAGCUGAAGUCAUUGGCUGUUUGGAACCAUGGUUGUGAGGCAUGCUGGCGUUAAGAAAAGUCCAUCCUCUCGGGAGGAUGGACUGCAAAGCAGGUUUUCUUGGGGGGCCAGUGGGUAAGAACAAACAGAACUCAUCUGCUUUCCCUGAGCACCGAUAAAUAGAAGACAUGGGAUGAGGGUAUCUAACAAAGACUGAAGUCUCAGGGUCACUAAAGAUAAGGCAAAGCAAAUCAAGGCCAAUGAGACCUGAACAGAAAGCAUGCCGGGAAGGAAAGUCUUCAUAAAGCUGACAACAAUUUGUUUUGAAAUCUGAAGGCAGAGAAAAUUGCAAGCAGCAGCCUGACAUUUUCUGCAAAUAGGAAAGAAGAGAUGAGCCUUGCAAGGAAGAACAGGGCAGGGUCAAGUGUCUGCCUCUUCUAGAAAGACAGACAGUGCAAGAACCUCUUAUCCAUGG
rnacentral:lncRNA from 1 species